rnacentral:rRNA from 1 species
GACGAACGCUGGCGGCGUGCUUAACACAUGCAAGUCGAACGGUAAGGCCCUUCGGGGUACACGAGUGGCGAACGGGUGAGUAACACGCGGGUGAUCUGCCCUGCACUUCGGGAUAAGCCUGGGAAACUGGGUCUAAUACCGGAUAGGACCACUGCCUGCAUGGGUGGGGGUGGAAAGCUUUUGCGGUGUGGGAUGGGCGCGCGGCCUAUCAGCUAGUUGGUGGGGUGAUGGCCUAACAAGGCGACGACGGGUAGCCGGCCUGAGAGGGUGACCGGCCACACUGGGACUGAGAUACGGCCCAGACUCCUACGGGAGGCAGCAGUGGGGAAUAUUGCACAAUGGGCGCAAGCCUGAUGCAGCGACGCCGCGUGAGGGAUGACGGCCUUCGGGUUGUAAACCUCUUUCAGCACCGACGAAGCGCAAGUGACGGUAGGUGCAGAAGAAGGACCGGCCAACUACGUGCCAGCCGCCGCCGUAA